rnacentral:rRNA from 1 species
UAAUACGUAGGGUGCGAGCGUUAAUCGGAAUUACUGGGCGUAAAGGGUGCGCAGGCGGCCCCGCAAGUCAGGCGUGAAAUCCCCGAGCUUAACUUGGGAAUUGCGCUUGAAACUAUGGGGCUGGAGUGUGGCAGAGGGAGGUGGAAUUCCACGUGUAGCGGUGAAAUGCGUAGAUAUGUGGAGGAACACCGAUGGCGAAGGCAGCCUCCUGGGCCAACACUGACGCUCAUGCACGAAAGCGUGGGGAGCAAACAGGAUUAGAUACCCUGGUAGUCCACGCCCUAAACUAUGUCUACUAGUUGUUGGGGGAGUUAAAUCCCUUAGUAACGCAGCUAACGCGAGAAGUAGACCGCCUGGGGAGUACGGUCGCAAGAUUAAAACUUAAAUGAAUUGACGG